AACGAACGCUGGCGGCAGGCCUAACACAUGCAAGUCGAGGGGGAAGCCACUUUCGGGGUGGUGGAGACCGGCGCACGGGUGAGUAACGCGUGGGCACCUGCCCUGGGGUGGGGGAUAACCGCUGGAAACGGCGGCUAAUACCGCAUACGCCCUGUUUUCGUGGAGGAGACGGGGGAAAGAUUCAUUGCCCUGGGAUGGGCCCGCGUUGGAUUAGCUUGUUGGUGGGGUAAAGGCCUACCAAGGCGACGAUCCAUAGCUGGUCUGAGAGGAUGAUCAGCCACACUGGGACUGAGACACGGCCCAGACUCCUACGGGAGGCAGCAGUGGGGAAUAUUGGACAAUGGGGGCAACCCUGAUCCAGCAAUGCCGCGUGUGUGAAGAAGGCCUGCGGGUUGUAAAGCACUUUCAAUCGUGAAGAAAAGCUUACGGUUAAUACCCGUAAGUAUUGACGUUAACGAUACAAGAAGCACCGGCUAACUCCGUG
rnacentral:rRNA from 1 species